rnacentral:rRNA from 1 species
UGAAUACGAGAUACUACGGUAUUGAAGCAGUGUAUGUCAUACUUCCAAGAAAAGCUCGCACUAUCAUAAGUUAAGAAUGCCUGUACCAUAACCGACACAGGUGGGUAGGUAGAGUAUACUAAGGGGCGCGAGAUAACUCUCUCUAAGGAACUCGGCAAAAUGACUCCGUAACUUCGGGAGAAGGAGUGCCUUAUAUUUAAUAAGGUUGCAAUAACAAGAUCCAAGCAACUGUUUACCAAAAACACAGGUCUCCGCUAAGUCGUAAGACGAUGUAUGGGGGCUGACGCCUGCCCAGUGCCAGAAGGUUAAAGAAGUCGGUUAGCUUUUGCGAAGCUGGUAACUGAAGCCCUGGUGAACGGCGGCCGUAACGAUAACGGUCCUAAGGUAGCGAAAUUCCUUGUCGGGUAUGUUCCGACCCGCACGAAAGGCGUAAUGAUUUGGAUACUGUCUCGGAGAGGGACUCGGUGAAAUAGACUUGUCUGUGAAGAUGCGGACUACCUGCACCUGGACAGAAAGACCCUAUGAAGCUUUACUGUAACCUGAAAUUGAAAUUGGACUUUAUUUGCGCAGUAUAGGUGGGAGGUGUUGAGAAUAAUCUUGCGGGAUUAUUGGAGCCAUCAGUGAGAUACCACUCUUGUAAUGUUAGAUUUCUAACUUUGUAUCAUUAUCUGGUCAAAGAACAGUUUCAGGCGGGCAGUUUGACUGGGGCGGUCGCCUCCCAAAUGGUAACGGAGGCGCACAAAGGUUUCCUCUGAACGGGUAGAAAUCGUAUCUAGAGUGUAAAGGCAUAAGGAAGCUUGACUGUGAGACCUACAAGUCGAGCAGGGACGAAAGUCGGUCUUAGUGAUCUGACGGUGCUGAGUGGAAAGGCCGUCACUCAACGGAUAAAAGUUACUCUAAGGAUAACGGGCUGAUCUCCCCCAAGAGUUCACAUCGACGGGGAGGUUUGGCACCUCGAUGUCGGCUCAUCGCAUCCUGGGGCGGUAGUACGUCCCAAGGGUUGGGCUGUUCGCCCAUGAAAGCGGUACGCGAGCUGGGUUCAGAACGUCGUGAGACAGUUCGGUCCAUAUCCGGUGUAGGCGUUAGAAUAUUGAGAGGAGCCUUCUCUAGUACGAGAGGACCGAGAAGGACAUACCUCUGGUGUACCAGUUAUCGUGCCAACGGUAAACGCUGGGUAGCUAUGUAUGGAGUGGAUAACCGCUGAAAGCAUCUAAGUGGGAAGCCCACCUCAAGAUAAGUAUUCUCAC